UACAGUUGGGAUUAAAACCAACCGUGCUAAAAACUGUCAGAUUUUUUCGGACGUUAAAGUGCGAGUAGCAAUCGAUUCUAAUAAACUUGAGCUGCGUCACUAUCACAACUAUAUAAAAAUUGUCUUGCUAUUUUAGUUUCUGAAAUCGUUUAAACAGACGAAUGGACGUCAGACAGACGGAAUUUGUAACGAUUAGAGUACAUUCUUUAACUCGUUGGUUAAAGAGAAUAAACACGACACCAAUCAAUUAUAUUAUGUUAACAUUGGUUUUUUUUUUUAAGUACAUCUGCAACUUAAAACAUUUUCUUUAUGAAAUUUGAAAUGAUGAAAUUUGUUUUAUUGACCUGUGCACCGAAAAGCUAGACGACAUACAAGGAGCACAAAAAAUAUUCAUUUUUUGAGGGAAUCUAGCAAGAAUAAGUGGAUCAGGAGGUGGUGGCCACCAUUUCAUCCAUCAAAGCCGAAAUGAUACUUACCACACCUUGCGGUAUUCCAACAUCGUAUGUUGGCGCCGCAGAAGUAGGUUGAUAAGGUCCACGAGCGUACCGCAAAAUAGCCAGUUGUUGAGCUCGCCGAAUACCACACUCACCAAGCCCACGUAGUUGUAUCCAAUAUGCACCAACAGGCUGAUUCGCCGUUAUAACGAAAUCAUAGCGCUCACCUAAAA